rnacentral:tRNA from 1 species
GCCGAUAUAGUGUAAUGGAUAGCACAUGAUCCUUCUAAGUUCAGAGCCUAGGUUCGAAUCCUAGUAUCGGUG